GCUGGCGGCAUGCUUAACACAUGCAAGUCGAACGGUAACAGCGGGAGCUUGCUCCCGGCUGACGAGUGGCGGACGGGUGAGUAAUGCAUAGGAAUCUGCCCAGUAGUGGGGGACAACCUGGGGAAACUCAGGCUAAUACCGCAUACGCCCUACGGGGGAAAGGCUUCGGCCGCUAUUGGAUGAGCCUAUGUCUGAUUAGCUUGUUGGUAGGGUAACGGCCUACCAAGGCGACGAUCAGUAGCUGGUCUGAGAGGACGAUCAGCCACACUGGGACUGAGACACGGCCCAGACUCCUACGGGAGGCAGCAGUGGGGAAUAUUGCACAAUGGGCGAAAGCCUGAUGCAGCAAUGCCGCGUGUGUGAAGAAGGCCUGCGGGUUGUAAAGCACUUUCAGUGGGGAGGAUUAUGACG
rnacentral:rRNA from 1 species